UAAGAAUAUUAGAUUAGUGAAACAUGUUGUAUGUUUGGCUGUUGUCUUUUAUCCUUCCCCAAGAAAAACUGCCUCGCCCUGAGGCAGUUAAUUUCUCACACUGCUUUUCUUGUGUUUUUUUCAUAUACACUAAUAUUCUAAAUAAAAGGUGGAGUAUUCUUGGCUUGGGGUUUCUCCUGGGAUUCUCCCUAAUAUGGAUGCUCUUGUUUGAGAUAGCCCCUCUGGGCCCUCUCAGUGACUGAACUAAGUCUAGUCUCUGAGUAAUCCUUUUUUUUUUUUUUGGUCUUUUUUUUUUUUAUCAGUACCAGGGAUCAAACUCACGACCACACACUUGCAAGGCAGGCGCUUAUGCCACUGAGCUAAAUCUCCAGCCCCAGUAAUCCUUUAUUUUCUACACUGCUAUGGUUGUACACUGUGACAAUUAGAACAAGAGGGGAAAUGAAUAAAAAUGAGCUCAUGUGAACAGCAUCUUUUAUCUACAGAUUUGGAGACCAGGGAUCAAACAAGUUCAUCUAUAGGCAAGGGCAUUAUUGAAAGUAAUGAUUCUCAUUUGGAAGUAAUGGAAAGCACAUUUGCUGGUCUUGAGAGCCCCAAUUUUAGAAAUGACCGGCAAAGCAAAAGCAAGAUUGAAAUAUGAGGACUUAAAGGGGGAUAUUUCAAUAAAAUAAAAAUAACCUCUGACAAAGAACUCAAUUAUAAAAAUAAAGGAUGUGUUAUGUUACCUAAGAAAA